rnacentral:rRNA from 1 species
ACAUGCAAGUCGAGGGGCAGCAUCAUUAAAGCUUGCUUUGAUGGAUGGCGACCGGCGCACGGGUGAGUAACACGUAUCCAACCUGCCGACAACACUGGGAUAGCCUUUCGAAAGAAAGAUUAAUACCGGAUGGCAUAGUCUUCCCGCAUGGGAUGACUAUUAAAGAAUUUCGGUUGUCGAUGGGGAUGCGUUCCAUUAGGCAGUUGGCGGGGUAACGGCCCACCAAACCAACGAUGGAUAGGGGUUCUGAGAGGAAGGUCCCCCACAUUGGAACUGAGACACGGUCCAAACUCCUACGGGAGGCAGCAGUGAGGAAUAUUGGUCAAUGGACGAGAGUCUGAACCAGCCAAGUAGCGUGAAGGAUGACUGCCCUAUGGGUUGUAAACUUCUUUUAUACGGGAAUAAAGUGAGCCACGUGUGGCUUUUUGUAUGUACCGUAUGAAUAAGGAUCGGCUAACUCCGUGCCAGCAGCCGCGGUAAUACGGAGGAUCCGAGCGUUAUCCGGAUUUAUUGGGUUUAAAGGGAGCGUAGGCGGGUUGUUAAGUCAGUUGUGAAAGUUUGCGGCUCAACCGUAAAAUUGCAGUUGAUACUGGCGACCUUGAGUGCAACAGAGGUAGGCGGAAUUCGUGGUGUAGCGGUGAAAUGCUUAGAUAUCACGAAGAACUCCGAUUGCGAAGGCAGCUUACUAGAUUGUAACUGACGCUGAUGCUCGAAAGUGUGGGUAUCAAACAGGAUUAGAUACCCUGGUAGUCCACACAGUAAACGAUGAAUACUCGCUGUUGGCGAUAUACGGUCAGCGGCCAAGCGAAAGCAUUAAGUAUUCCACCUGGGGAGUACGCCGGCAACGGUGAAACUCAAAGGAAUUGACGGGGGCCCGCACAAGCGGAGGAACAUGUGGUUUAAUUCG